rnacentral:tRNA from 1 species
AUUUCUAAUAUGGCAGAUUAGUGCACUGGAUUUAAACCCC